rnacentral:rRNA from 1 species
GUCUCUCUAGAGUCCUCAGCAUAACCUGUUAGUAACUAAAGAUAAGGGUUGCGCUCGUUAUGGCACUUAAGCCGACACCUCACGGCACGAGCUGACGACAACCAUGCAGCACCUUCACAGCGGUGAUUGCUCACUGACAUGUUUCCACAUCAUUCCACUGCAAUUUAAGCCCGGGUAAGGUUCCUCGCGUAUCAUCGAAUUAAACCACAUGUUCCUCCGCUUGUGCGGGCCCCCGUCAAUUCCUUUGAGUUUCACCGUUGCCGGCGUACUCCCCAGGUGGAAUACUUAAUGCUUUCGCUUGGCCGCUUACUGUAUAUCGCAAACAGCGAGUAUUCAUCGUUUACUGUGUGGACUACCAGGGUAUCUAAUCCUGUUUGAUACCCACACUUUCGAGCAUCAGUGUCAGUUGCAGUCCAGUGAGCUGCCUUCGCAAUCGGAGUUCUUCGUGAUAUCUAAGCAUUUCACCGCUACACCACGAAUUCCGCCCACCUCUACUGUACUCAAGACUGACAGUAUCAACUGCAAUUUUACGGUUGAGCCGCAAACUUUCACAACUGACUUACCAGUCCACCUACGCUCCCUUUAAACCCAAUAAAUCCGGAUAACGCUCGGAUCCUCCGUAUUACCGCGGCUGCUGGCACGGAGUUAGCCGAUCCUUAUUCAUAUAAUACAUACAAAACAGUAUACAUACUGCACUUUAUUCUUAUAUAAAAGAAGUUUACGACCCAUAGAGCCUUCAUCCUUCACGCUACUUGGCUGGUUCAGGCUAGCGCCCAUUGACCAAUAUUCCUCACUGCUGCCUCCCGUAGGAGUUUGGACCGUGUCUCAGUUCCAAUGUGGGGGACCUUCCUCUCAGAACCCCUAUCCAUCGAAGGCUUGGUGAGCCGUUACCUCACCAACAACCUAAUGGAACGCAUCCCCAUCCUUUACCGGAAUCCUUUAAUAAUGAAACCAUGCGGAAUCAUUAUGCCAUCGGGUAUUAAUCUUUCUUUCGAAAGGCUAUCCCCGAGUAAAGGGCANGUUGGAUACGUGUUACUCACCCGUGCGCCGGUCGCCAGCAAAGAAAGCAAGCUUUCUUCCUGAUGCCCCUCGACUUGCAUGUGUUAAGCCUGUAGCUA